UCUGAUCUUCUGGAUUUUAACAGUAAAAAUUAUAUUUAGUCUCUUGUAUACAAGACCAAAAUUUUAACACAAUCCUACCUGCGUGCCCAAAAACAUAUCAUGUAACACCAGAAAUAUCAAAAAUGAGAGCAUGUUUAAUAAUAAUUUUUAAAGUCCAUAGAUACUUUUUUGUUGAAAUUUUAUGCAGAAUAAGCUACAUGUGAUUGACAUUUCAUUCAUACUCAUGAAAACCACCCUUGCACUUAAAUCUGAAAACCCAAAAAAGAUAACAAAUGUCAUAAGAUUCUUGGCUUAAUCUUCACCCACCAAAAAGAACUAAAAAGAUGAAAAAGAAAAGGGGAAAAAUAGCAGGAGAAUCUGAUACCACAUUUAAUGAAGUUAAUUACAUCUUUAACAGUUUCAUGAGUGAACAAAAACCACCACUUUAUUUAUGCAUUUAACAAAUCAAGAAAACCCAUUCCCUAAACAAGUCAGACCAAUAAAAAAUUCACAACAAACUCAUAAUCCAUUACGAAAUACACAAAAAAAAAAAAGAGAAAAAAGAACUCCAUUUCUUUUGAAAAAUGAAUAAACUAGUAGGCUAAAAGCAUCACCUAUGAUCCAAGUAAGAGACAGAACUCAAAAAGAGAAAGCAUUUACCUUGAUCUUCUUCCUUGGGCAUUCACAGAAGCAAAGAAACAAAAAACUUAUAUUUUAGCAUCCAAGUGGGACUCUGAAUGAGCAAAAGACAAGAAGACAAUGUAGAAUAAAACCCCAAAUGCCUGCAAAGGGGUAAAGCAGCAAUUGCACAGGAAGAGUAGUUUACAAGUAGAAGCCCUUCCUUUUGGUGUUGUCGUGGCAUUCCAAGUAGGCCAAAAACAGAACUCAGCUAAUGAUAAAAAAGAAAUGGGAAAGAAAAGGCCAGACAAAAAUCUAAUCUUUCAAGCAAGAAUGUAGAGAGAGAGAAAUGAUAGAAGCCUAAAUAUAUAAAGAAAAAAGAAAAAGGAAGAAGAGGUAGGUAAAAUGGUUGGUGGGUCUUUGAGUGUCUGAGGAGAAGAGAGGGGCCUCAAAAAAGGCUGGAAAGGAAGCUUAGUUUACAAUGGAGGACACCGGAGAAAGAGAAUAGUAAAGGAAAAGCAUAAAUGAGG
rnacentral:lncRNA from 1 species